UGAGGAAUAUUGGUCAAUGGGCGAGAGCCUGAACCAGCCAAGUAGCGUGCAGGAUGACGGCCCUAUGGGUUGUAAACUGCUUUUAUGUGGGGAUAAAGUGCGUGACGUGUCAUGCAUUGCAGGUACCACAUGAAUAAGGACCGGCUAAUUCCGUGCCAGCAGCCGCGGUAAUACGGAAGGUUCGGGCGUUAUCCGGAUUUAUUGGGUUUAAAGGGAGCGUAGGCCGUUUGGUAAGCGUGUUGUGAAAUGUAGGAGCUCAACUUCUAGAUUGCAGCGCGAACUGUCAGACUUGAGUGCGCACAACGUAGGCGGAAUUCAUGGUGUAGCGGUGAAAUGCUUAGAUAUCAUGAAGAACUCCGAUUGCGAAGGCAGCUUACGGGAGCGCAACUGACGCUGAAGCUCGAAGGUGCGGGUAUCGAACAGG
rnacentral:rRNA from 1 species